UACUGACACUCAGAAGCGAAAGCUUGGGUAGCAAACAGGAUUAGAUACCCUGGUAGUCCAUGCUGUAAACGAUGAGUGCUAGAUGUUAGAAGUUUACUUCUAGUAUCGAAGCUAACGCGUUAAGCACUCCGCCUGGGGAGUACGGCCGCAAGGCUAAAACUCAAAUGAAUUGACGGGGACCCGCACAAGCAGUGGAGCAUGUGGUUUAAUUCGACGCUACGCGAAGAACCUUACCAGCUUUUGACAUGCUAAGUUUUGGAUUUAAGAGAUUAAAUUCUUCAGUUCGGCUGGGCUUAGUACAGGUGCUGCAUGGCUGUCGUCAGCUCGUGUCGUGAGAUGUUCGGUUAAGUCCGGCAACGAGCGCAACCCUCAUCUUCAGUUACUAACAGGUUAAGCUGAGGACUCUGGAGAAACUGCCGUUGGAAAAGCGGAGGAAGGCGAGGAUGACGUCAAGUCCUCAUGGCCCUUAUGGGCUGGGCUACACACGUGCUACAAUGGUAAUUACAAUAAGUCGCGAAAUGGCAACAUUGAGCUAAUCUUUAAAAAUUAUCUUAGUUCAGAUUGUUCUCUGCAACUCGAGAGCAUGAAGUCGGAAUCGCUAGUAAUCGUGGAUCAGCAUGCCACGGUGAAUACGUUCCCGGGCCUUGUACACACCGCCCGUCACACCAUGGGAGUUGGUUUUACCCGAAGCCGGUGCGCUAACCGCAAGGAGGCAGCCGACCACGGUAAGGUCAGCGACUGGGGUGAAGUCGUAACAAGGUAGCCGUAGGGGAACCUGCGGCUG
rnacentral:rRNA from 1 species